UUUUCAGACAAGGUGGCCAUAUGAAAAAGACCAAAAUUAAAAGAGCCAAGAAAGGGCACGGAAGUUAUCUGAAAAAAACAAUCAAGACUUGACUCCUGCUUCUUUCACUUUCCUCCAUCUAUUCUCACUUAUCAAACUAGAUGAAUAACCAACAGAAAGUACAAUUAAGCCUCUGUCUGUCAUAUAACAACAGCUUUUACAAAUGUACCCCUAAGUUUUAUAUACUUAUUUCCUUUUAGACUGCUGGUUAUGUCACUGUUAGUGUGUGCUGACUGCCACUAAGAUAACUUUGGUUAUUAACUGUAAUAAACAGCACCUUCUACUUUAAAUAUAUUUUGAAAAACAACAUUUAAUGCUGACUUAAGCCAAUAUUAGGUCAUCAUCAUGUUACACCUUCACUUGAAAUCAGCUUAGAAUUAAGUCUAUAUUUGUGCUUUAUUUAUAAAAUGAAUCCUUAUCUACGUAUGUUGUAGAGGGAGGGUAUCUGGGGAAAUUUAUGUGCCACAGAGAAUUUUAAAGCAAUUUCUUUAACUAGUGACAAAAGAACUGGGAGAAGACUGGAUUCCUUAGAAUAACGCUUCCUUUCUCAUGGUUGCGUGUGACUAUGCUAACUUUAGGUCUUGCUACUGUUGGAUAUUUAUAAUAGACAUACAAAUCUUAAAUGUAAACAGGCUAAGCACCUCGGGCUUUACCGUGAUAUGAUUAGGAAUCAUUUAUCAAAUGGUUCUGAGAAAGGGGAAAGCAUGCUAUUGGGAUAGAAGGAGGGAAUCUGAGGAGUUAAAGCCCCAGUUAUUCAUCACUGUCAAAUGGAUUUAU
rnacentral:lncRNA from 1 species